rnacentral:pre_miRNA from 1 species
UCACAUGUGGUGCCGGGGUAAAUAAAACUCUGAGUUAUCUCAGAUCAGCUUCAGAGUUUUGUUACCCCGGCUCUCUGUGGG